rnacentral:lncRNA from 1 species
GAGGUAAUGGACCUUCGUCAAUUUCCAAUGCAAAACGAAGAAGGUAGAUUCGGUGAACCUGGAGAAGGAGUUGGUGCAGGUGNUAGGCUAACGAAGGAGGUAAUGGACCUUCGUCAAUUUCCAAUGCAAAACGAAGAAGGUAGAUUCGGUGAACCUGGAGAAGGAGUUGGUGCAGGUGACGAAGAUGUCGAUGUUGGAGANGAUGACCACCNUUUAGGGGAAGAAGUACCAGCAGGUGGGGAUGAAGAAGCAGCUGGUACACAUAACGAAGCCGGAACCUCCGAGCAUCGUCAGGAAUUUAUUGAAGUCGAUGAUGAAGUAGACGAUGUUCCGGAAGGAUUGGAACCCCAGGUAGUUGUCCCUCUGCGUAGUUAUGCUGGUUAUCCUAGUGUCUCCGAUGUCGAUGUUGAUUGUUUGUACCGUGC